rnacentral:lncRNA from 1 species
AAAAAUUGCAUAUAUUGGGGAAGACGCCAAUACAGCAAAAAGGUAAAAUCACAACAGGAACUCCACCAAGGAAUAUCUAACAAAGAGACUUUCCUGGGGAAAAACGCAAGAUGAGGUGUUACCGGUUACUGGUUAACAAACUCAAAGAAACAGGUGAUCUAAACACCGGUAUAAGGGUGAAAGAACAACAAGCUCAGGAAGAAUGAA